ensembl:lncRNA
GAACGCCGGCACACGAGUGUAUACAUUCAUAAUAACAAUACGUGGGAUCUCCAGUUAUAUGAUGAUGUCUGUGAGAGCUUCAGUGUUGAGAAGAUCUCAGAGGUGUGCUGGAGAUCUGCAGAGGGAAAUGAAAGCAGACGGAUCUGCUGCACAUUAAAGACUCUGAUCUUCUCAGUUUCUAGCCUCAUUAUGCUGGAACUGCUGAUUCAUCAGACGGUCAGUGGACGGACCAUGAGAGUGUCCGAAUGUAAUAACUCACUAAAUCCCAGAGCGGAGACGCUUUCACCAUCUAAUCAAUUCAUAAUGGAGGAAAUCAGGCCUUUAAUAUCCGGUUCCUCUCUGAAGUACGUCAUGAUCUGGAGGUAAAUGAGUCGUUGGUGUCAGCGGGUGUUUAGAGGCGGUGAAGGUACUGUAGGUGUGAUACUGUAUUCCUGCAGACUGCUGGUUUUGAUGAUGUUAUGAUGUUCAGGAAGGUGUU